rnacentral:ncRNA from 1 species
UUCCGAGGAGCGCUGCAACGAACAUUCGCCAGGCUCGGAACGUAACUAACCCUAGUUAACGGCGCUCAGU